rnacentral:rRNA from 1 species
UACGGAGGAUCCGAGCGUUAUCCGGAUUUAUUGGGUUUAAAGGGAGCGUAGGUGGUCUGUUAAGUCAGCGGUCAAAGCCCGGGGCUCAACCCCGGCCCGCCGUUGAAACUGGCAGUCUCGAGUGGGCGAGAAGUAUGCGGAAUGCGUGGUGUAGCGGUGAAAUGCAUAGAUAUCACGCAGAACUCCGAUUGCGAAGGCAGCAUACCGGCGCCCGACUGACGCUGAGGCACGAAAGCGUGGGUAUCGAACAGG